GGGGAAUAUUGCACAAUGGGGGAAACCCUGAUGCAGCGACGCCGCGUGGAGGAAGAAGGUCUUCGGAUUGUAAACUCCUGUUGUUGGGGAAGAUAAUGACGGUACCCAACAAGGAAGUGACGGCUAACUACGUGCCAGCAGCCGCGGUAAAACGUAGGUCACAAGCGUUGUCCGGAAUUACUGGGUGUAAAGGGAGCGCAGGCGGGAAGACAAGUUGGAAGUGAAAUCCAUGGGCUCAACCCAUGAACUGCUUUCAAAACUGUUUUUCUUGAGUAGUGCAGAGGUAGGCGGAAUUCCCGGUGUAGCGGUGGAAUGCGUAGAUAUCGGGAGGAACACCAGUGGCGAAGGCGGCCUACUGGGCACCAACUGACGCUGAGGCUCGAAAGUGUGGGUAGCAAACAGGAUUAGAUACCCUGGUAGUCCACACCGUAAACGAUGAUUACUAGGUGUUGGAGGAUUGACCCCUUCAGUGCCGCAGUUAACACAAUAAGUAAUCCACCUGGGGAGUACGACCGCAAGGUUGAAACUCAAAGGAAUUGACGGGGGCCCGCACAAGCAGUGGAGUAUGUGGUUUAAUUCGACGCAACGCGAAGAACCUUACCAAGUCUUGACAUCCGUUGACCGCUGUAGAAAUACAGUUUUCCUUCGGGACAGCGAGACAGGUGGUGCAUGGUUGUCGUCAGCUCGUGUCGUGAGAUGUUGGGUUAAGUCCCGCAACGAGCGCAACCCUUAUGGUCAGUUACUACGCAAGAGGACUCUGGCCAGACUGCCGUUGACAAAACGGAGGAAGGUGGGGAUGACGUCAAAUCAUCAUGCCCUCUAUGACUUGGGCUACACACGUACUACAAUGGCGUUAAACAAAGAGAAGCAAGACCGCGAGGUGGAGCAAAACUCAGAAACAACGUCCCAGUUCGGACUGCAGGCUGCAACUCGCCUGCACGAAGUCGGAAUUGCUAGUAAUCGUGGAUCAGCAUGCCACGGUGAAUACGUUCCCG
rnacentral:rRNA from 1 species